AUUGAACGCUGGCGGCAUGCUUUACACAUGCAAGUCGAACGGUAACAGGCCGCAAGGUGCUGACGAGUGGCGCACGGGUGAGUAAUGCAUCGGAACGUGCCCAGUCGUGGGGGAUAACUACUCGAAAGAGUAGCUAAUACCGCAUACGAUCUAUGGAUGAAAGCGGGGGACCGUAAGGCCUCGCGCGAUUGGAGCGGCCGAUGUCAGAUUAGGUAGUUGGUGGGGUAAAGGCUCACCAAGCCAACGAUCUGUAGCUGGUCUGAGAGGACGACCAGCCACACUGGGACUGAGACACGGCCCAGACUCCUACGGGAGGCAGCAGUGGGGAAUUUUGGACAAUGGGCGCAAGCCUGACCCAGCAAUGCCGCGUGCAGGAAGAAGGCCUUCGGGUUGUAAACUGCUUUUGUACGGAACGAAACGGCUCUGGUUAAUACCCGGGGCUAAUGACGGUACCGUAAGAAUAAGCACCGGCUAACUACGUG
rnacentral:rRNA from 1 species